rnacentral:rRNA from 1 species
ACUCAAAGGAAUUGACGGGGGCUCACACAAGCGGUGGAGCAUGUGGCUCAAUUCGAAGCAACGCGAAGAACCUUAUCCAAGACUUGACAUGCACGGAUUACUGAUCUGAAAAGUGAUGGACACCCUUCGGGUGGAACGUGCACAGGUGCUGCAUGGCUGUCGUCAGCUCGUGCUGUGAAGUGUCGCGUUAAGUCGCUUAACGAGCGAAACCCCUAUCACUAGUUGCCAGCGGGUCAUGCCGGGGACUCUAGUGAGACUGCCGGUGUCAAACCGGAGGAAGGUGGGGAUGACGUCAAGUCCUCAUGGCCUUUAUGUCUUGGGCCGCACACGUGCUACAAUGGCGUUGACAAAGCGAAGCAAUACGGCAACGUGGAGCAAAUCGCACAAACAACGCCCCAGUUCGGAUUGUGGUCUGCAACUCGACCACAUGAAGUCGGAAUCGCUAGUAAUCGCGCAUCAGCUACGGCGCGGUGAAUGAGUUCCUGAGCCUUGUACACACCGCCCGU